rnacentral:tRNA from 1 species
GCCCGCGUAGCUCAAUCGGUAGAGCGUGGGACUCUUACAAAUUGGGAGUCAAUCACAAGGCUGCGGGUUCGAGCCCCGCCGUGGGUU